GGAAGUAAAAGUCGUAACAAGGUCUCCGUUGGUGAACCAGCGGAGGGAUCAUUACUGAGUUUACGCUCUACAACCCUUUGUGAACAUACCUAUAACUGUUGCUUCGGCGGGUAGGGUCUCCGCGACCCUCCCGGCCUCCCGCCCCCGGGCGGGUCGGCGCCCGCCGGAGGAUAACCAAACUCUGAUUUAACGACGUUUCUUCUGAGUGGUACAAGCAAAUAAUCAAAACUUUUAACAACGGAUCUCUUGGUUCUGGCAUCGAUGAAGAACGCAGCGAAAUGCGAUAAGUAAUGUGAAUUGCAGAAUUCAGUGAAUCAUCGAAUCUUUGAACGCACAUUGCGCCCGCCAGCAUUCUGGCGGGCAUGCCUGUUCGAGCGUCAUUUCAACCCUCAAGCUCUGCUUGGUGUUGGGGCCCUACAGCUGAUGUAGGCCCUCAAAGGUAGUGGCGGACCCUCUCGGAGCCUCCUUUGCGUAGUAACUUUACGUCUCGCACUGGGAUCCGGAGGGACUCUUGCCGUAAAACCCCCAAUUUUCCAAAGGUUGACCUCGGAUCAGGUAGGAAUACCCGCUGAACUUAAGCAUAUCAAUAAGCGGAGGA
rnacentral:rRNA from 1 species